ensembl:lncRNA
CAAAAAUCCAAUUUAUCCCACUGAAGCUCCAGCUAACAACGUAGGGCUGAUAGCCGGCAUCGUCGUUGCAGUCAUUGUGGUCGUCGCCAUAAUAGUUGGACUGUUCUACGUCUUCAGUGUGCGUGGAUAUAAACUGAGCACCUUGAGCUUGCCAGCAAAAAGCACCAGUAGAAUUGAUGUGGUAAGUUUUUAAUUAGCCUGUCAUGGUUGGAUAAACAAAUGUAUUGAUGUCAGUGCUAAAAACUCAUGUCAUUCUUGUGUUGCAGCCUGCCUUUACCAACCCCAACUUCGUAGGAGAAUCGGACACAUAAAUCGUCGAGCUUUUCACAUUAACACUGAUAUUUUUUGCAAAUCAAUAACAUAGUUUGUUAUUUUUAUACAAUGCAGACUAUCCCUGCUCUCAAAGGGCAAGACAGAACAUGCAAACUCCACACAGAAAAGCCUCAGUUGGCUGGUGGAUUUGAACCCAGAAACAUCAGUGCUGCCAGUCAACAUGUUGUGAUACGCUAAUACCAUUAAAAUAUAGUGAGAUAACAUUUCCCCAUUUUUCCACAUGCAGCAGUAAUGAUGUCGAUAUAUAGCCAGUUGCUGUUUUGCAGAUUUUAUAGCAAAGUGCCAAAUUAUUCUUUUUUUUUUUUUAUUUUUAUUUUUUUAAAUAAAACAAACAACCGUGUUUUUAUUUCCAGUGUUUAUUCAUGUCUGUACACUGCAACACAAAAAUUUUAUUUUAUUUUUAAACAUAUUUUACAAAAUGAAAAACAAACAUCCUUCAAAAACCCUUUUUAG